UACGAAGGGGGCUAGCGUUGCUCGGAAUCACUGGGCGUAAAGGGUGCGUAGGCGGGUCUUUAAGUCAGGGGUGAAAUCCUGGAGCUCAACUCCAGAAGUGCCUUUGAUACUGAAGAUCUUGAGUUCGGGAGAGGUGAGUGGAACUGCGAGUGUAGAGGUGAAAUUCGUAGAUAUUCGCAAGAACACCAGUGGCGAAGGCGGCUCACUGGACCGAUACUGACGCUGAGGCACGAAAGCGUGGGGAGCAAACAGG
rnacentral:rRNA from 1 species